rnacentral:rRNA from 1 species
GCUCAUCGCAUCCUGGGGCUGUAGUCGGUCCCAAGGGUUGGGCUGUUCGCCCAUUAAAGCGGUACGCGAGCUGGGUUCAGAACGUCGUGAGACAGUUCGGUCCCUAUCCGUCGUGGGCGUAGGAAAUUUGAGAGGAGCUGUCCUUAGUACGAGAGGACCGGGAUGGACGCACCGCUGGUGUACCAGUUGUUCUGCCAAGGGCAUAGCUGGGUAGCUAUGUGCGGAAGGGAUAAGUGCUGAAAGCAUCUAAGCAUGAAGCCCCCCUCAAGAUGAGAUUUCCCAUAGCGUAAGCUAGUAAGAUCCCUGAAAGAUGAUCAGGUUGAUAGGUUCGAGGUGGAAGCAUGGUGACAUGUGGAGCUGACGAAUACUAAUAGAUCGAGGACUUAACCAUAUAA